rnacentral:rRNA from 1 species
GAUGAACGCUGGCGGCGUGCCUAAUACAUGCAAGUCGAGCGAACAGAUGAGGAGCUUGCUCCUCUGACGUUAGCGGCGGACGGGUGAGUAACACGUGGAUAACCUACCUAUAAGACUGGGAUAACUUCGGGAAACCGGAGCUAAUACCGGAUAAUAUAUUGAACCGCAUGGUUCAAUAGUGAAAGACGGUUUUGCUGUCACUUAUAGAUGGAUCCGCGCCGCAUUAGCUAGUUGGUAAGGUAACGGCUUACCAAGGCAACGAUGCGUAGCCGACCUGAGAGGGUGAUCGGCCAAACUGGAACUGAGACACGGUCCAGACUCCUACGGGAGGCAGCAGUAGGGAAUAUUCCGAAAUGGGCGAAAGCAUGACGGAGCAACGCCGCGUGAGUGAUGAAGGGCUUCGGAUCGUAAAACUCUGUUAUUAGGGAAGAACAAAUGUGUAAGUAACUAUGCACGUCUUGACGGUACCUAAUCAGAAAGCCACGGCUAACUACGUG